rnacentral:lncRNA from 1 species
UUUUUUUUAUUACUCAAAUGAAUUUAUCACAUCUGUAGUUGUAUAAUGAUCAUAACAAUCUGAUUUCACAGGAUUUCCAUCCCACAGCCCAAGCACAUCCCCCCACCCCCCAAAACUGUCUCCUCUGGAGACCGUAUGUGUUUCAAUGUCUGUGCAUCAGCAUCUGUUCUGCAAAGAAGUUCAGUCUGUCCUUUUUUCAGAUUCCACAUGUCAGUGGAAGCAUUUGAUGUUGGUGUCUCAUUGUAUGACUGACUUCACUUAGCAUGAUAGUUUCUAGGUCCAUCCAUGUUGCUAAAAAUGCUGGUAUUUCGUUCUUUUUAAUGGCUGAGUAAUAUUCCAUUGUGUGUAUGUACCACCUCUUCUUGAUCCACUCCUCUGUCAAUUUAGGUUGUUUCCAUGUUUUGGCUAUUGUAAAUAGUGCUGCAAUGAACAUUGGAUACAUGUGUCUUUGUGAGUCGUAGUUUCUCUGGAUAGAUGCCCAGGAAUGGGAUUUCUGGAUCAAAUGGUAGUUCUAUGUUUAGUUUUCUGAGGAAUCUCCAUACUGCUUUCCACAGUGGUUUCACCAAUUUACAAUCCCACUGACAGUGUACUAGUGUUCCUUUUUCUCCACACCCUCUCCAGCACUUCUUGUUUGUAGACUUUUGGAUGAUGGCCAUUCUGGCUGGUGUAAGGUGGUACCUCAUCAUGGUUUUGAUUUGCAUUUCUCUGAUAAUGAGUGAUGUUGAACAUCUUUUCAUGUGUUUUUUGGCCAUCUGUAUGUCUUCUUUGGAGAAUUGUCUGUUUAGAUCUUCUGCCCAUUUUUUGAUAGGCUUGUUAAAAUGGACAAAAGAUUUGGACAGGAACUUCACCAAAGAAGAUAGAUGAGAUGUAAAUAAGGAAAUUUUAAAAAUGUUCAUUGUUAUUAGUUAUUUCAUCAUUAUGGAAAUCCAAAUUAAUGAAUACACAAUAAAUUACACAAAAUAAUGAAUACACAAUAUAUUAGAAUGGCUAAAAUUUAAAAGGAAUAAUGCAAGACAGUAGAAACACUCAAGCAUUAAUGGGAAUGCAAAAUGAUAUUGUUUUUCUGAACUAUGGUGUGGAAAUUUAUUUUAAACUUAAAAAUACUUACUGAAUCACCUGGGUUAGCAUUUAUUCUAAGUAUUAAUGCUAAAGAAAUGAAGAUAAGUUCAUAGAAAACCUAAAUAUAAAUGUGUUAAAGUGGCAUUAUUGAUAAUUGACAAGACCUGGAAACAGUCUCAAUGUUCAUUAACAGGUAAAUGGUUAAACAGUGUUAUAUCAUUCAAUCAGGUUAUUGGCUAGCCACAAUGAGAAAAAUUCUCAAAGGCAGUAUACUAGGUGCAAGAAUCCAGACUCAAAAGGUGAUAUCAUCUAUGAUUUACUUGACAUUCUAGAAAAGACACAAAUGUAGGCGCAGCAUGACAGAAUUAUUUGGGAUAUUUGAAAUGUCUGUUAAUUGUCUGUGGUUGUGGUUGUUAGAAACUAUUCAUAUAUAAAAAUAUAAAUACCUAUUCACCAAAAGGUGCUUUUCUUAGUAUGUUUAUUAAUAAUAAUAGUAACCAGUAAUAAUAGUAACACCAAGAUGGAGCUAAAGCAAUAUCACUGGAGAUUAUUUUUAAUAAUUAAAUGUAUUACUCUUCUUUGUUAAAUGUCUUUUAUAAAACAAAUUUUUCAAUAUGGUUAAUAUGCUAAUUAUUCUUUUAGAAAAGGAUACCAACCUAGAAAAAACUUUAUCUUUUAAAAAUGUGGUUGCAAACUAAGAGUGCAUUCCUUGCCCUAUUGUGUUUUGAAAUUCUAAGUUUUAUGCUUCUUCAGAGAAUAAAAUUAUUUGCUACCAAUACUGUAGAAAAAUAAUUUGAAAACUCAUAGUAGUGGGUGAGACAGCAGGUAAUAGAAGUCUUCUUCAUGUAAUGGUGGCCAAAUCAAUAUGGAGUUGAGGUCAUCACAGUCAGUAAUAGGAGCUGAUUCAGAAAGACAGCUACUUACCACCAUAGGUUGAAAUCAGACAGCUGUGUUAUGAUUCUAGGGAUGGCCGAGUCAUUUAUAGCAGUUAUAUUCACACCUUUAAAUGAGAAAAGUGAACUCCACAACCUGAGAUUUAGAGCAGUGGGCGGGGGGAAUUGCAGUACUGCAACUCUUGACUUAAAAGGAAAAGGAAAAACAGGAAAAACGGUAGUAUAUAUUUUAAAUACAUCUUUCAACUUACCUAAAACUGUUAUAAUUAAGAAGAAUGAAUUAAUGUUCAACCUAACAUGUUUAUUCUGCCUUUCUUCAUGGAAAGCUGCUUUAAAAUAGUUUACUAAUGUAUCAAAAAUACUCAAGACAUAAUUAAAUGAUUGUUUCUUUUAUAUUUCAUUCUUUCAAGUUCAGGAAAUUUAAAUAAUGUUAAUAUUUUUAAUAUUUUAAAUUGGUUAAUUAAAAAAAGUACCCUACUUGGAGUUCCCUCAUGGUUCAGUGGGUUAAGUAUCACACAGCGUUGUCAUUGCUGUGGCUCUGGUUGGAGCUGUGGUGCAGGUUCGAUCUUUUGUCCAGGAAUUUCCACAUGCCAGAGGUAUGGAAAAAAGAAAUUGCCCUACUUAAUUUUCUUUCCUUCUUGCAUGACAAUAUCUUGGAGCUUUGGUUACUUUUAGGUCCCUAGUAUUACUUCACCAUCUCCAUUUGAAUAUAUCCUUUUUUACCAAAUUUUGAAAGAAUACUUAUCAUGAAUUUUUCUCCUCAUCCCCAUCAAAUUUUAAAUACCAUUCUUAGAAAACACAAAGUAUUGCUUUCAAUAAAAUUCUAAUUAUUUAUACUUAGAAAGCACUUUUUGCUAUAUUUAGAGUUGAAUGUUAUAGUAUCCUAAGAAAAUUGCUAUCAUAGGGAUUCUGAAGUAAGCUAGACUAGAGGAAGUUAUUGUUUAUUUCUUUCCUUUUUUUGAAGGAAGAUGGGCACCAACAGCAAUGAUACUGGGAAGGAAAAAUCUCAGAUUUGUGAGAUUGAGUAGGUAAAAUACAUAAAAUGUUUGAUUAAAUAGUUGUUCAGGAUGAUUAAGAAGAAUGAGUCAGGAUGACUGCUAUGUUUCAAGUUUGAUUGACCUAGAAGACAAUGCUGUCAUUCAACAAUCAAUAAAAUACAGGAGGUACAGUCUCGGGGGAGAGAAUGAGGUUACAUUUGGAUGAGAAGUAAAUUUUACUCUUGUGAACUAUGCAUUGUUUGCAUUUGUUACAUUAUUUCCAAAGAAAGGUUAUUAAUAUGCAUCAUCUAGCAUUUUGUGCUGUGAGUCCAAAUCCACUCAAAGUCAGAGCUGAAAAAAAUUGGUACUUAAACUCAACAUCUUGUGAUUUAGUUUCUGCCUAUAGAAUACUGCUGUCACCAAAAUAUCACAAGGGAAAUGACAUCUUAUUCUUCAUGAGAAAAUUAAAAAUUUAUCUUAAGAAUAAAAUUUCAAGCUAGUUAAUUUCUUAGCCAGCCACGAUGAUACAAGAUAGAUGACUGAUACUUGUAUUUUCUUCAAUAUGUUAACCAAAGCUCCAAAUAUGGAACAAAAUGAGUUCUUAAAUUUAACACAUUUUGCCAUAAAAUUUGAUCUUUACAGGCUUCUAUUUUAUCUCUAUAUAAUAAUUUAUAAAUAUAUUUAUAAUAUAAACUGGAAUAUUAUCAAAUCGUAUAAAUUCAUUAGCUUUAAGAAAAUGAUGCAAAUGAGGGUGUGUGUGUUCUGUAGUCCUGAAUGUUUAUUUUCUCUCACCUUUUUUUCUUCCUUUCUUUUGUUUCUUUUCUUCUUUUUAGGGCUGCACCUGUGGCAUAUGGAAAUUACUUGGCUAGAGGUCGAAUCAGAACUGCAGCUGCCAGCCACAGCUACAGCCACAGCAAUGCAGGAUCCAAGCCGUGUUUGUGACCUACACCACAGCUCACAGCAACAAUGGAUCCUUAACCCACUGAGUGAGAACAGGGAUUCUAAUCAGAUCCAUAACCCACUGAGCCACAACUGGAACUCUUGUUUCUAUAUUUCAAAUCCCAUCCACCUACAGAAUAUGUUUCACCAAUCAAAAUGAAAGUUUAGCCCAUUAUUCAUAAUUAGAUUUAAAUAAUUUUUACUUAUGUCAGAGUUCAUUGUAACCAGCAUGUUUUGUUUGCUGGUUUUAAUGCACAAAUCUUGACAAAUUCUACCUCGUUUUUAAUAUCAACUAGUAAUUGCUCAUACAUUAAUAUAAAAACAGUCCACAAAGAAGAAAAUAUUUGCAAAAUAUAUAAGUGAUAAAGGACUGCUAUGCAAAACAUAAAAAGAAAUCUAAAUGAUAUGAAAUCAAACCAGGCUGUUUAAAAGUGGGCCAAAGACUUUGAGACACCUCAUAAAAAAUGUAUAGAUGCAAAUAAGCAUAUGAAAAGAUGUUCCACAUCAUCUUGUCUUCAGGGAAAUGCAAAUGAAAACAGCAAUGAGGUACCAUUUAACUCCCAUUAGAGUGGCCAAAAUCCAGAAUACUAACAACACUGAAUGCUGGCAGGGAUAUGGGGCAACAGGAACUCUCAUUUAUUGCUGGUAGGAAUGCAGAAUAGCACAGCCACUUUAGAAACAUAAUGUUUGCUAUAAUCCAACAAUUGCAUUCCUUGAUACUUGCCCAAAGGAGUUGAAAACUCAUGUCCACACAAAAAUCUACAUUCAGACAAAUGUACCACUCUGAUGGGCAGUAUUAAUGAUGAAGAGGCUCUGCAUGUUUGGGUACACAGAAUGUAUUGGAAAUCUCUGUACCUUCCUCUCAAUUUUACUAUUAACUUAAAACUUCUCUAAAUAAUACAGUAUUAAAGAAAGGCGACCUUACCUACAGAAGAGUAGAAUGAAAUUGAAAAAUAUUAAAAAAUAAGUAUAAGAGUUCCCAUUGUGUCACAGUGGAAACGAAUCAGACUAGUAACUAUGAGGUUAUGAGUUUGAUUCCUGGCCUAACUCAGUGGGUUAAGGAUCUGGCAUUGCCAUCAGCUGUGGUGUAGGUUGCAGAUGUGGCUCGGAUCCUGUGAUGCUCUGGCUGUGGCAUAGGCUGGCAGAUGUAGCUCCUAUUCGAUCACACUUGGAGUGUGACCUAAAAACAAACAAAAAAA